CUUUGGUUGUCGUUAGUUUCGUUCGCCUUCCGUUAAAUAGUGUCAAUAGUUUUGUAACCCCUCCCUCUCCGAUUAGCCCAAGUAUAAUGCAUGCACACAUGGACAUGCAUGCAUGCGAGUGUAUCGGAAUGCAUGCAUCAAAUAAGGAAAGGGGAAGUGAUUUGUGCGCGGCAAUUUUGGGUAGCUGUCAUCGCAGUCGCGAGGGCUUUGAACUCGUGACGUUGCGCGUACUCGUUCAACGGCUCGUCUCGGCAAGCAUCAGCAGCCCACCCCACCCCCCACCCCGUUUGCGCUGUGUGCGCGCAUGUGAAAAGUGUAACAAAAACAAAGUGCGGCCCAUUAUCGUGCGAUCCCCCCCCUGAUAACCGACGCCACUGGCCGACUGCGACAAUCAGUUAUUGGCCCGUCGUGUGGAGCUUCUCCAAUGAGCAUUGAACUGCGAAUUGCACAAGCGUGCGAAUCUGGCAGACAAACAUGAGAAAUGGUGCUGCCAGAUAACUGGCCAUAUUGAGCUCUCUGCGUUUGCCGAUUACCGUUAUUGUUGCUGAUGAUGACUAAUCCAAAUAAAUUCAAACGAAACCCAAGCUUCAUUCAGAUACGUUGACAGAAGUUUAAAAACCUGGUUAAGGGAACACCUCAACGUUCCUAAGAGCAAAAAAAAAAAAGGAGAUGUUAUCCUGCUUAUUGCAUAGUCGAGUCGAGCUGGACGUAUAAAAUUAUUAUUUGGAGUGAUUUAAGCAUCAAACAAUGCUUAAAUUAUAUCAAGAGAAUUCUGGCUCGAAACUGUUUUUCUAUAAAGGAUCUGGAAUGAGACAUAAGGAUCUUGUAGGAUUUUUACAGAACUGACGAAACUCUCUUCAUCAUCGGAUCGGAUAGGAAAGGCCAUUUCCCAGAACAAUUUCCCACUCACACACUCUUAACAAAGCCAAGAAGAAGAAGUUACUUAAAUAAUAUAUAUAUGAGUAUAAAACC